rnacentral:rRNA from 1 species
GACAGAGGGGGCAAGCGUUGCUCGGAAUCACUGGGCGUAAAGGGCGCGUAGGCGGGAUGGCAAGUCGGUCGUGAAAUCCUUCGGCCCAACCGAAGAACGUCGGCCGAUACUGCCGUUCUUGAGGGAUGCAGAGGAGACUGGAAUUCCCGGUGUAGCGGUGAAAUGUGUAGAGAUCGGGAGGAACACCGGUGGCGAAGGCGGGUCUCUGGGCAAUUCCUGACGCUGAGGCGCGAAAGCGUGGGGAGCAAACGGG